AUUGUAACAUUGUUGUAUUGCCAGAAAGACAUUUUGAGGAUUUUAAAAUGAUUAGUAAAAAAUCGAAUUUUUAGUAUUUUUCAGUAGCCAUAUUUGGUACAACCAAAACCUCCCACCGGAAGCACACCCCCCCCGGUUUGUUUCACUUCAAAACUUUUGCAUCUUGCCGAUCUUGGAGUGUUGUUUGCUGUUUUGCAUACAAGUUUCUGUUUAUUUUUGUGGCGGAACGGAGUGCUUUCACGCCACGCCAAGACAUGGCACAAAGACCAAAGAGCGACUUGGAAAAGAAAAAGUCCAUCUCCCUUCGCAAAAUCCCUUUGCUGGAAAACGUCGAGGGCGUGAAAGAGAGCUUCAAUAGACACUUGCAUUUCACACUGAUCAAGGACAGAAAUGUUGCUACAAAUCGGGAUUAUUUUACUGCACUCUGCCACACGGUUCGUGAUAGCUUGACAGAAAAAUGGAUACGAACUCAGCAAGAUUAUUACGUGAAAGAUCCCAAGGUAGGACACGAAAUUCAUGC